GCGCCCCGGCCUGGGCACCGCGGGGGGAGCCCGCGCGCCCGCCCCGCCCCGCGCCUCCCCGCGCCCGCGCCUGCCGCCCCGGGGAGCCUGCGGGAGGGGCCCCGCGGCCUCGGCGCCCGCUGGCUGCCCGGCGACGCCCCUCCGCCUCCCCAGCGCUGGCCGGGGGCGGAUUAGGAAGCCGCGGCACGACCCGGGAGAUCCGGGCGCAGGGACCCGGCCGGAGGGUCAAGGUCACUCAGCGGGCGCGGGGAGGAUCCAGGAGGCCCGGAGCGACCCGAGGCCCGGCGCGUCGGCUGGGGAGCUGAAGUCGGCGCCGCUGGUCACUCCCGCCUGGCCCAGGUUAUUUCGCGGUGGCUUGGCCCAGGGGCAAAGUCAGACUUGGAGUCUCUGCUUGAACUGCUGUUCGUGAGGAGGACAAGGUCACGGGCCUUCACACCUGGUCAAGUUCAGCUCCUGAGAAGGGCAGCUGCGGCUCCUUCACCUGAGGGGUUUAGUUGAGCAGUCCUUGCCAGUAGCAGCCCCCCGCUUCAGGAGGCGCACUGCCGCUAGCCAUGCCACAUCCUCCCCAGGCCUGGGGCCCCUACACCCAGACGCAGAAAUGGAGGCUCCCUCGCUGCCCUCCUCUUAACUCCCUUGAGGCCCUGGACGUCUCCUCACAGAGCCAUUCCAUGCCCUCGUUCGCUGCUCCCGGUGGGCCUGACAGCCCUGUCACAGAGGGAUGGAGACGCGGGUUGCUUGCAGAAGUGAGUGUACGCUGUUUCCCCAUCAGCCAGGAGCUCCCGGGCUGGAGCUGGUCUCCUCCUCCUGGCCCCGUGCACGUGCUCCAGGUCCCUGAGCAGCAGACUGGCCACCAGAACUGCCCCCUGCUCCCCUGGGGUCAGGCCCAGGCCUGGGUCCCUCACCUGCGUGCAUAGUGUCCUGUUCCACACUGCUGGGCCACUUUUCCAGGCUCCUUAUUUCUUGGAGGCCCAGCUCUCAUGUCACCGCCUCCAGGAAGGAGUCCCUGAUUUCAGGCUGGUCAGCUGCCUGUCUGGGCCCCCGCAGGCCCAUGGCACCCUGCCCCUGCUCAAUCUAGUUUGCAGAGAACUGGAUAAAGAAGAAAAGACCACGACGGACACGCUUCUUUCCCUGCCUGGACCCUGAAUGGUUCCGACACGGGGCUGGAGCCAGCUAUAUAACUGUAGAAUGAAAAUGGGGGCAUGUUGAAAAAGCAGGAGAAAUGU